CGCGGGGUAGUGCAGUUGGCAGCACGCUGGGUUCAUGUCCCAGAUGGCGCCGGUUCGAGUCCGGCUCCCGCACCCA
rnacentral:tRNA from 1 species